UCAAACUCCUGAUCUCAAGUGAUUCACCCACCUCAGCCUCCCAAAGUGCUGGGAUUACAGGCAUGAGCCACUGUGUCUAGCUGCUCACGUAUUUAUUUCUCAUGCUUCUUUUGUUGUUGUUGUUGUUGUUGUUGUUGUUGUUUAGUUUUUGUUUCCUUAGGAGACAAGGUCUUGCUAAUUUCCCCGGUUGGAUUUGAACUCCUGGGCUCAAGCAAUCCUCCCACUUUGGCCUCUUGAGAAGCUGGGAUUACAGACACAUACCACCACGCCCAGCUCUAUCAUGCUUUCUGUGUUUCAUUCUUUCCUGAACUUCAGAUUUCCAUCAGGGGACAAAAUUUACACUUGUGAAAUUUCCUGUUACUGGAUAUAAUCUGCUGCUUCAGACUGCAUCACAACUUGAGCCAACAAACCUGGGCACCAUGAUAUGUGAUGAAUAAUUCACCAGAUGCAUGUGGCAUUUGGUACCAAAGAUCCGAGUCAGAGGGACUCCUUCAGGAGACCAGUCCCCUGUCCUCACCCUCACUCUGUGAAGAGAUCCACCUACGACCACAGGUCCUCAGACCAACCAGCCCAAGGAACAUCUCACCAACUUCAAAUCGGAUCUUCUUGGCUUAGCAGCUGAAGAUUGACGCUGCCCGAUCAUCUCAGAAGCCUCCCGGACCUUCAUGGACGCUUUGGGUAACUCUUACAGUGGAGGAAGACAGGAAUGUCAGGCCUCUGAGCCCGAGCUAAGCCAUCACAUCCC